CUUGGGACUGCUAUUAUUGCUGCAAUUAACAAUGUCCUGUUGUUCAACCCCAGCAUUCUCCCCAUUUGAUGGUUGAAUAGACUUUGGAGGCACAUUUACUUGUUGAGAAUCUGCCUUUAACUGAUUAGAAAAGGACCCACUCACUUUUGGCCGUUUUCUGACAGGUUCCUUUUGUUCAGCAUCAGGACAUAUUUUUGACUUCCCGGGAGCAUUCUUCAACAGGUUCUUAGCACUGUUUUCUCUUGCAGAAACUAAAGCAGAAAGCUUAUUUUGCUGAUCUGCCUUGAGCUUCAUUUCCUUUUCCCGCAUAGCAAUCUGCUGCCUCAAGUCAUGAAGUUUAGCUUGGUUCAAGCCUAGGC
rnacentral:lncRNA from 1 species